GCGCCCGUAGCUCAGCUGGAUAGAGUACUGCCCUCCGAAGGCAGGGGUCAGAGGUUCGAAUCCUCUCGGGCGCGCCA
rnacentral:tRNA from 10 species